AUUGAACGCUGGCGGCAGGCCUAACACAUGCAAGUCGAACGAGUGGCGGACGGGUGAGUAAUGUCUGGGAAACUGCCCGAUGGAGGGGGAUAACUACUGGAAACGGUAGCUAAUACCGCAUACCAUCGGAUGUGCCCAGAUGGGAUUAGCUUGUAGGUGAGGUAACGGCUCACCUAGGCGACGAUCCCUAGCUGGUCUGAGAGGAUGACCAGCCACACUGGAACGUAGCCACGGUCCAGACUCCUACGGGAGGCAGCAGGGGGGAAUAGGGCGCAAGGGGCGAAAGCCGGAUGCAGCCAGGCCGCGUGUAUGAAGAGGGCCUUAGGGUUGUAAAGUACUUUACGCGGGGAGGCGUUACCCGCAGAAGAAGCACCGGCUAACUCCGUGCCAGCCGCCGCGGCAAGAU
rnacentral:rRNA from 1 species